UACCUGCAGCUCGAGUGGUGGCCGCUAUUAUUGGGCCUAAAACGUCCGUAGCCGGUCUUGUAAAUGCCUGGGUAAAUCGUGUCGCUUAACGAUACGAAUUCCGGGUAGACUGUAAGACUUGAGACCGGGAGAGGCUAGAGGUACUCCUGGGGUAGAGGUGAAAUUCUGUAAUCCUAGGGGGACCACCAGUGGCGAAGGCGUCUAGCUAGAACGGGUCCGACGGUGAGGGACGGAGCCCUGGGGCGCAAACCGGAUUAGAUACCCGGGUAGUCCAGGGUGUAAACGCUGCUUGCUUGAUGUUAGUCGGGCUCCGAGCCCGAUUAGUGUCGGAGAGAAGCUGUUAAGCAAGCUGCCUGGGAAGUACGGUCGCAAGAUUGAAACUUAAAGGAAUUGGCGGGGGAGCACAGCAACGGGUGGAGCGUGCGGUUU
rnacentral:rRNA from 1 species